GAUUAAAAUUCCCCACCUCCGCCCAUGCCACCAGUGGCUCUGUCUGCGAGGACGCUUCCUCCUCCAGUCUCUCUAGCUGCUUUCCGGCCCAGCCAGCUUGGAGCAGUCUGGAGAAGAGAGAGUCUGCAGUCCACAUCUGCUCCGGUGUUCGGCCUCUGCCACAGGGGCUCGGGAGAGAGCAACUGCACGGUCCCAGACAGAGAAACCUCUGUGUUCGAUGACGAGAAUAGCCACCCAAGAAAGCACCAGAAUGGCAUCUCCUCUGCAACAUGCCCCAUGCCUCGGAAUGCCAUGGAGCAGCUGAGAGGAAGACUCCUCCUUUUAAAGGUUUGUCAGUGGGGGUUCCUCCCCCUCCCCAUGCUGUGACGCACUUCGAGACAGCAAUGAGUUCCCAGCCUGCA